rnacentral:rRNA from 1 species
CGCCUGUUUAUUAAAAACAUGGCCUAUUGAUUAUAAUUUUAGGUCUGACCUGCCCAAUGAUUUAAAAUUGAAUGGCCGCGGUAAUUUGACCGUGCAAAGGUAGCAUAAUAAUUAGUUUUUUAAUUGAAAGCUUGUAUGAAAGGUUUGAUGAAAAAGUAACUGUCUCUAUUUAAAUUUAUUAAAAUUUUAUUUUUAAGUAAAAAAGCUUAAAUAUAUAUAGAAGACGAGAAGACCCUAUAGAGUUUUAUAAUAAAUAGUAUAAUUAGAAUUUAGAAUUGUAAAUUUUUAUAUAAUUUAUUAUUUCGUUGGGGUGAUAAAAAAAUUUAAUAAACUUUUUUUGUAUAAAAACAUUGAUUAAUGAAAAUUUGAUCCUUAAAUAAAGAUUAUAAGAUAAAAUUACCUUAGGGAUAACAGCGUAAUUUUUUUUUAGAGUUCAAAUUGAAAAAAAAGAUUGCGACCUCGAUGUUGGAUUAAAAGCAAUUAUUGGUGUAGCAGCUAAUAAAUUAGGUCUGUUCGACCUUUAAAAUUUUACA